UUCUUGCUCUUUAUCUCUACCCUUAAUCUCUGUCGUAUUCACAACCUUUUUGUAUCUUGCUUUGCUUGUCACUCUUGUCCAGAAUCCAGAUUGAAGACUCCUACUUUCAUCCCUCUUCUUUUUUCCACAAAUCAGUAAUUGUUGGCGUUAAGUUUAUAUUUCGAGCUACACAUCUUCUGUAGGCGGGCAGACCGAAGACGACGAGAAAGGUGGAGAUUCCUUCAAUGGGCUCAACUUUUUGUUGUUUAAUGAGGAGGCAUGGUGUUAUGAUACAGAGGAUAGUCAAAUACAUAAUUGAAGGCCCAUGUCUACUUAAUUGGGGAGCGAAUCUAAACUUUUGCAUCUACUAAAUCUGAGGAAUGGAACAAAGAUACUUUCUGCUAACAAGUUAUGAACAAAGAUAACUUCUACCAACAAGUUAUGAAUUUGUACCAACUAAAUGAUCCAAAACUUCACUUUAUGUCUCACACUUCAAGAACAAUACAACAUAUGCAUGUUUGUAUUAACAAUGUUAUGUUAUUCUUUAAGCAUUUUUAUUUUAUUUCUUUCAUGUAUUACUCUUAAGAAUGUAUUUUUUUUCAAAAGUGUUAUUCUACAAGAAUUUUAGUUAUCUAAUAAUAUGUAAUUCCUUAUUCUUUAUGAAUGUCAUUUAUUUUUUCAA